rnacentral:lncRNA from 1 species
AUGCAGUCACCAAACCUAUUAUGUCUAGCUGCACAACAUGAGAAAGGACAUGUUUUAAAAAAAGCAGAGUUUUUUGACAAAUGGAAUCAGGAUGACUCAAAGACAAAAAUAAAUGAAGCACAAGAGGAUCUGAAGGAGGCAGAUACAGACACAGGGGGUUCUGCAAACAUAACACAGAAAGACAAGGAGGAGAGGACACAAGUGAGACAGGACGAAAAGGAUGAGAAGACAGAACUGACACAGGGAGACAUAGAGGAGAAAACAGUGGCGAAUGCACAACAUGGGAAAGGUAACAUGAAGGUGUAUAGUACUUUAGGUCUGCUUUGCCUCUUCAGAACUAGGAAAUUAUAUGAAAACACAAUUUUCUAUCUUAGGCACAAAAUAUUACUGUAGUUGCUAAUGCCAUGAAGUACCUUAAUGAAAGAAACAUUUAGUGCAGAGUUUUUUAUAAGGAAUCUAAGCCACAUCCUAAAUAGCUCCUCUGUUCAUGACUUCUUUAAGACUGCAUUACACUAAGUUUUGCCGUUCUGUGUAGACCAUUUCCAGUCUCUCUAAACCUGAAGAGGAGGUGUCUGACUUGCAUUUUAAGGAAAGAAAAGAGCAUCAUCAAAAUCCAACAAGACCCAUCAACC